ACUCUGUUUGAACAAACGGCACUACCCCAAGUAAGAAUGAAGUUGCUUGUUCCUCCCAAACAGCUUAACAUUUCAAGAGUAAAUGUCUCUUUGCUGUACCAGCAAGACUUGGGUGGUCCAGUGUCGAAACUGGAGGAGUGGACAAUAGAUAUGUCAGAUAAACAGCCAGGAGAUUUUAUUUCAACAGGGAUGUUUGACACCAAAUACAUCACUGGAUAUUACUACUUCAACAGCAGCUUCCAGAGCAGUCACUGCUUGGCCGAGUGCCACAGUUCUUCUACACCCCAGCUUUGUAUUCCUGGUUCAAGAAGAGGUAUCCAGGUAAUGAGUGUUAUCAUGCUGAUUGCCUCAAUUGGUUUUGCACUUUUGGCGCUAUUGGUUUUGAGGAACAAAUUCUACAAGAAAAUAAUUGAUGGUCCAGAAAAAUCCCCAAUUGUGCUGUUCAUAUACGAGUCUAGUUAUCCAUCUCAUAUUGAAAACAUAUACAAGUUCAGAGAGUUUCCCCAGUAUAACUGAUACAUUGAGUGGAUCUGUUCUACAUUUUGAAAGCAGUUACUGCAGUGUUUUUUAUUUGCAGGUCCAGAAAAAUCCCCAAUUGUGCUGUUCAUAUACGAGUCUAGUUAUCCAUCUCAUAUUGAAAACAUAUACAAGUUCAGAGAGUUUCCCCAGUAUAACUGAUACAUUGAGUGGAUCUGUUCUACAUUUUGAAAGCAGUUACUGCAGUGUUUUUUAUUUGCAGGUCCAGAAAAAUCCCCAAUUGUGCUGUUCAUAUACGAGUCUAGUUAUCCAUCUCAUAUUGAAAACAUAUACAAGUUCAGAGAGUUUCCCCAGUAUAACUGAUACAUUGAGUGGAUCUGUUCUACAUUUUGAAAGCAGUUACUGCAGUGUUUUUUAUUUGCAGGUCCAGAAAAAUCCCCAAUUGUGCUGUUCAUAUACGAGUCUAGUUAUCCAUCUCAUAUUGAAAACAUAUACAAGUUCAGAGAGUUUCCCCAGUAUAACUGAUACAUUGAGUGGAUCUGUUCUACAUUUUGAAAGCAGUUACUGCAGUGUUUUUUAUUUGCAGGUCCAGAAAAAUCCCCAAUUGUGCUGUUCAUAUACGAGUCUAGUUAUCCAUCUCAUAUUGAAAACAUAUACAAGUUCAGAGAGUUUCCCCAGUAUAACUGAUACAUUGAGUGGAUCUGUUCUACAUUUUGAAAGCAGUUACUGCAGUGUUUUUUAUUUGCAGGUCCAGAAAAAUCCCCAAUUGUGCUGUUCAUAUACGAGUCUAGUUAUCCAUCUCAUAUUGAAAACAUAUACAAGUUCAGAGAGUUUCCCCAGUAUAACUGAUACAUUGAGUGGAUCUGUUCUACAUUUUGAAAGCAGUUACUGCAGUGUUUUUUUAUUUGCAGGUCCAGAAAAAAUCCCCAAUUGUGCUGUUCAUAUACGAGUCUAGUUAUCCAUCUCAUAUUGAAAACAUAUACAAGUUCAGAGAGUUUCCCCAGUAUAACUGAUACAUUGAGUGGAUCUGUUCUACAUUUUGAAAGCAGUUACUGCAGUGUUUUUUAUUUGCAGGUCCAGAAAAAUCCCCAAUUGUGCUGUUCAUAUACGAGUCUAGUUAUCCAUCUCAUAUUGAAAACAUAUACAAGUUCAGAGAGUUUCUCCAGUAUAACUGAUACAUUGAGUGGAUCUGUUCUACAUUUUGAAAGCAGUUACUGCAGUGUUUUUUAUUUGCAGGUCCAGAAAAAUCCCCAAUUGUGCUGUUCAUAUACGAGUCUAGUUAUCCAUCUCAUAUUGAAAACAUAUACAAGUUCAGAGAGUUUCCCCAGUAUAACUGAUACAUUGAGUGGAUCUGUUCUACAUUUUGAAAGCAGUUACUGCAGUGUUUUUUAUUUGCAGGUCCAGAAAAAUCCCCAAUUGUGCUGUUCAUAUACGAGUCUAGUUAUCCAUCUCAUAUUGAAAACAUAUACAAGUUCAGAGAGUUUCUCCAGUAUAACUGAUACAUUGAGUGGAUCUGUUCUACAUUUUGAAAGCAGUUACUGCAGUGUUUUUUAUUUGCAGGUCCAGAAAAAUCCCCAAUUGUGCUGUUCAUAUACGAGUCUAGUUAUCCAUCUCAUAUUGAAAACAUAUACAAGUUCAGAGAGUUUCCCCAGUAUAACUGAUACAUUGAGUGGAUCUGUUCUACAUUUUGAAAGCAGUUACUGCAGUGUUUUUUAUUUGCAGGUCCAGAAAAAUCCCCAAUUGUGCUGUUCAUAUACGAGUCUAGUUAUCCAUCUCAUAUUGAAAACAUAUACAAGUUCAGAGAGUUUCCCCAGUAUAACUGAUACAUUGAGUGGAUCUGUUCUACAUUUUGAAAGCAGUUACUGCAGUGUUUUUUAUUUGCAGGUCCAGAAAAAUCCCCAAUUGUGCUGUUCAUAUACGAGUCUAGUUAUCCAUCUCAUAUUGAAAACAUAUACAAGUUCAGAGAGUUUCUCCAGGAUAACUGUUAUAUUGAACCAAGGUUGGAUCUCCUGGACAUAUCCAAAACAGAAUCUAUGAAUCCAUGGCAAUGGUAUUACAAGGCAUUUGAAGAGGCUAACUAUGUGCUUGUAUUUACAUCUCCAAAUGACAACUCAAAGAAGGGUAUCCAUGAGGACAAUGUGUAUCGCAAUCUGCACACCUACGCUCUCAAACUACUAAUCGUAUACUUGUUGCAUAAAAACAAACUCAAAUUCUCAGUAGCAUCCGUCAAACUCCCUGGAUGUUCUUGGGAAUCACUUCCUCCUGAAGCUAAAAUUGUAGAGAAAAGAUUUUCGUUACCCGAACAACUGACUCAUCUGUUCAAGUUCUUGAAUGUUCCACCUGUGAAGAAUGGUAGCUCAUUGUUAGUAUCUGCUCUUCAACAACCGAGGAGCCCCCCGCAGUUUAUUGUUUCGAGACCAAUCACUCCACUUAAACUUCCCUUCAAUUCUGGAGAUUUUGAUUUGGACAGGGAAGAAAUAGAAGAUGAAGAAGUAAGGAACUCUAUAGUUAUAAAAGGUUUCCAACUAAACCUGGAUGAACAAUCUACAAGUGAAGAUGAAGAAGAGAAUGAUCAUCAAGAACUGCCUUUUGUCGGACUUCAAUUUUGAAACUUUAUCUCGGUAGGUUAUCUCCAAUCAUUUAAUGGAAGAAUGCAAAAUUAAUCCACUUCUCAUCUAAUUUAUAUUUUUCAAGAAUAAAGUAUAUGACUUAAAUGUAUAGUCAUAUAUCAAUUUAUCAGUUCUAUUACUACUAAAAACUUUUCAAACAUUCGAUGGUUAAAAAUUGGUAAGUGAUACAUUCAGCACAAAUUAAUAAAAAAAUGUAUUUUUAUAAAUCAUCAAUUUUUUAUGUGUAAAAUCCGGAUAGAUUUAAUUUCUAAUCUCUAAAUGUAAAAAUAAAAAAGUAGGUGCUUACGUUAUCAUUUAAAGUUGUGGACUGUGUAUGACUUUACUUGUACAAGGCCUUUCCAGAAGUAAAUAUUUUACUACCAUUUUAAGUCCAUUAAACUUCCAUAUGGUAGGAUAAAAGUUUUGUUCCAUACUAAGAUGUUAUACAUGUGAAAUGAAUCACAUUCUAUAAAAAAAAUAUUGUUUGUCACUUAAACAUAGCAAUAUUUAUACUCUCUCAUUUUUAAGAUCUGUAUUACUACACAAAGUUCUUUCUAUUUAAUCGUAAUUGGUUGAGUGUUAGCAAUUGGAAAAGUUUCAUUUCUGUCCAUCUGACUAUCUGUGCGCAAGAUAUCUUGUAGACAAACUGACCUAUAGACUUACAAUUUUGAAUGAACCUUCAUUUCUACAACACCACACUGAGUUUGUUGGUGCUGCAUGUCACUCUCUGGGAUUUAGCUGAGUAUUAGCGAAUAUUUUUACAUGGUCAUAUAGGUGAUCAUGAUGGCAACAAGAAAAUAACAUAUUCAAUAAAUUUGUAAAUAAAUUUAGUACAAUCAUAAGGGAUUUUAACAUAUGUGACAUUGUGUAGACUUUCAUUAAUAGAGUAAAAAUAUAAAAUAAUAGAGUGGAAAAUCAAUGUCAGUGUGAAAAGUCAAGAUUUGAUAUCAGCACACUCUUGCAUGGUUGUACACUCCCUAGCUCACUAAAGCUAUUAAACUCAACCUAAAGAACAAAAAUGUAAAUGUAUCAUGUAGCAAGAAAUCUCAAGAAAGAUUUAAUCUGUGACCUUUAAAGUUUGCAUGAAACUUCUUUUCUGCAUAGACAAGAAUGAGUUCUCUAAUGGUGCAUGUCCAACCAUAGAAUUUGGUUUACCGCUAUGGAAGUCUAUCAAUCAGUACACUGACACAAUUUCUCUUUUAUCUGCCGGAUGGGACGUAAAAAUGUCUCUUGUGUAUGAUUGUCUGCCUGUGUAUAUGUCCGCAAGACAUCUCGAGAAUGCAAUGAGCUUUAGAAUUGAAAUGUUGCAUACAAUCACAGCGAAGCCUCUUGUACAACACAUGGUGUGGCAUACUCUUAAUUUGUACUGGUAAACAAUUUGUUCUCAUAAUUGAAAUGUUGCAUACAAUCACAGCGAAGCCUCUUGUGCAACACAUGGUGUGGCAACUCUUAAUUUGUACUGGUAAACAAUUCGUUCUCAUAAUUGAAAUGUUGCAUACAAUCACAGCGAAGCCUCUUGUGCAACACAUGGUGUGGCAACUCUUAAUUUGUACUGGUAAACAAUUUCGUUCUCAUAAUUGAAAUGUUGCAUACAAUCACAGCGAAGCCUCUUGUACAACACAUGGUGUGGCAUACUCUUAAUUUGUACUGGUAAACAAUUUGUUCUCAUAAUUGAAAUGUUGCAUACAAUCACAGCGAAGCCUCUUGUGCAACACAUGGUGUGGCAACUCUUAAUUUGUACUGGUAAACAAUUCGUUCUCAUAAUUGAAAUGUUGCAUACAAUCACAGCGAAGCCUCUUGUGCAACACAUGGUGUGGCAACUCUUAAUUUGUACUGGUAAACAAUUUGUUCUCAUAAUUGAAAUGUUGCAUACAAUCACAGCGAAGCCUCUUGUGCAACACAUGGUGUGGCAACUCUUAAUUUGUACUGGUAAACAAUUCGUUCUCAUAAUUGAAAGUUGUAUUUGUUCAAAUUAAUCUUUAUUUUUGUUAUCCUAAAUAGUUUUUGUAAAACACAAUUAAAAAAAUAAAAACCAUUCUGUAAAAAAUGUAUUAACUUGAAUGUUUUAUUUCGUAGCUUAGUUGGAUGAAUGAUGCACCAAAAUCUUAGGUACAAAACUAAUUAAUAGCUUCAUAUUCUGAAAUGAUCAUAUACACUGGCUUCUAAAUUGCAUGUCUGAAACAGAGUUAGUUUUAACCCUCUAAUUGCAAGUAAUUUUUCCUUACAUGCUAGGAAUGGUUUAAAUGGGUUUUUAAAGCUACUAUUAUGGUUAGAAUUUGAUAAUAAAUGCCUUGAAAACCAUAAAAUAACACAAAUCAAUAAAAUAUAAAAUGCAAAAUGAAUGCAAAAUGGAUGUCUUAUACCUGGUACACUUACACAAGAAUGCUCUGAUUCCGACAACUUCCAUCUAAGCCAACCACCGUUAAUUUACGUUGGGCCCUCCUGCCAGCUUUUCCACAGACCAGUGAGUGCACGCAAGACUGGAGAAAUUCCUUACAUUGGGUGUGGGAAUCUAACCUGUAACUCCAAGGCCAAAUCUCACGUCCAAUAGUAGUGCCUUAGACCACAUUGCCAUCCUGACUUGUUGUCUUGGGUGUGCAGAUAACUCACUUACAUAUCUCUUUGUUAGCGCUCUAACAUGUAAUGAUUGUGACCCAUAGCGCUUAUAGAGGUAAUUGCUGGUUACCUUGAUACUAUAUUCAUCUUUGUACUAUACAGAUCAUUCAGCAUACUUACCAGUUAGUGCAUAAAACACAUUUUGAGUGGUAAAUGGUUGUGAACCAUACUAUAGUAAGUGCUAUAGCCUACUAUUGUAAACUAACAAAUAUUAUCAUAUUAAUUAAUAAUGAACCUGUGAUACAUUCUUUACUUAUGGAUAAACCUGGUAGAUUUAUUAUUACAUCUUAGCUAUUUCUAAAUUGUAAGAACUAAAGCUGUACACAUGUAAAUAUUAAUGUGUUUUAUGUUUUGUAUGAAAUAGUGUAUCACAUUCUAUGUGAAGCCUGAAUAACUUUUGUUUAGCAUGGUUAAGUUUUUUUCUAAACAUAUGAAAAUAUGCUCCAAAUCACCAAUGAACAUGUCUGAAUUACGAUAAAUAUAAUUUGGAUUACUUAUUCCAAACAAUGAAAAUAUUACUGUAAAUAGCAAACAAGUUUAUUGAAUAAAGUACAAUGUGUUUUGUAUAUAAGAUGUUUUUAUUGGUAUUAAAUGUUAUAUAAGAUGUUUUUAUUGGUAUUAAAUGUUAUAUAAGAUGUUUUUAUUGGUAUUAAAUGUUAUUUAUGUA
rnacentral:misc_RNA from 1 species